rnacentral:rRNA from 1 species
AUUGAACGCUGGCGGCAGGCUUAACACAUGCAAGUCGAACGCAUCCUUCGGGGUGAGUGGCAGACGGGUGAGUAACACGUGGGUACAUACCUUUUGGUUCGGAAUAACUCAUGGAAACGUGAGCUAAUACCGGAUACGCCCUUUUGGGGAAAGAUUUAUUGCCGAAAGAUUGGCCCGCGUCUGAUUAGCUAGUUGGUGAGGUAAUGGCUCACCAAGGCGACGAUCAGUAGCUGGUCUGAGAGGAUGAUCAGCCACACUGGGACUGAGACACGGGCCAGACUCCUACGGGGGGCAGCAGUGGGGAAUAUGGGACCAUGGGCGCAAGCCUGAUCCAGCCAUGCCGCGUGAGUGAUGAAGGCCUUAGGGUUGUAAGCUCUUUUAUCCGGGAAGAUAAUGACUGUACCGGAAGAAUAAGCCCCGACUAACUUCGUGCCAGCCGCCGCAGUAA